rnacentral:rRNA from 1 species
UACAGAGGGGGCAAGCGUUGUUCGGAAUUACUGGGCGUAAAGGGCGCGUAGGCGGCCUUCUAAGUCAGACGUGAAAUCCCCGGGCUCAACCCGGGAACUGCGUCUGAUACUGGAAGGCUUGAAUCCGGGAGAGGGAUGUGGAAUUCCAGGUGUAGCGGUGAAAUGCGUAGAUAUCUGGAGGAACACCGGUGGCGAAGGCGGGUCUCUGGGCAACAACUGACGCUGAGGAGCGAAAGCGUGGGGAGCGAACAGG